GAUGAACGCUGGCGGCGUGCCUAAUACAUGCAAGUCGAGCGAACAGACGAGGAGCUUACUCCUCUGACGUUAGCGGCGGACGGGUGAGUAACAUGUGGAUAACCUACCUAUAAGACUGGGAUAACUUCGGGAAACCGGAGCUAAUACCGGAUAACAUGUUGAACCGCAUGGUUCAACAGUGAAAGACGGUCUUGCUGUCACUUAUAGAUGGAUCCGCGUCGCAUUAGCUAGUUGGUAAGGUAACGGCUUACCAAGGCAACGAUGCGUAGCCGACCUGAGAGGGUGAUCGGCCACACUGGAACUGAGACACGGUCCAGACUCCUACGGGAGGCAGCAGUAGGGAAUCUUCCGCAAUGGGCGAAAGCCUGACGGAGCAACGCCGCGUGAGUGAAGAAGGUCUUCGGAUCGUAAAACUCUGUUAUUAGGGAAGAACAAAUGUGUAAGUAACUAUGCACGUCUUGACGGUACCUAAUCAGAAAGCCACGGCUAACUACGUG
rnacentral:rRNA from 1 species